UACAUUCCUGCCACAAAUUAGAAGUUUUGUCCUUUUCUUUCAAGCUUCUUUUUUAGUUUGCUUCUAUAAUUGUAUGUAACUUUCAAAUCACACUUGUUAGAAUUCUAGAGGAUUUAACUUUGUAUCUAUUGACCAUACUGCAUGCAAUAAACUGUUGUAGUGACACAAGUUCUGUGCUAAGAGAUGCCUAAACUGUUGCUCCAACACCAGCAUCUAGAACGAAGAGUCCUGCACAUCCAACUGCUAGUUCACAAUCAAGCUCAAUUUGUGGUGACACAAGGGUUGUGCCAAUAGCUCCACAAAAGAGGGCUCAAGUUGGAGCUGGCAGGGGAAGGCGCAGAAAAAAAUUCACAAAUGCAAGAGGGGUACCAUUUGUGAGUGCAAGAGAAGACUCUUCUUUAGGUCAAUUGCCACCAUUAUCAGGCCACAAAAGGGCAUAUACUACUACUGGUUUUGCUGCAGCCUGGUACAACAAAUGAGAGGGUUCUACAUGGUGCAACAAAGUUGAAGAGUGCUUCACCAACAAAUAUUGAUAUUGGUUAUAAAGCUCGUGGACUGAAAUGGCAAGGAAAAGAUGAAAUGACCACAUCACAACUAUCCCGAUUGAGAGCCAACAAGAGAAACCAAAAGGCUGCAUCAGAAGCAACCAGAUUUUCAGCAGAAGGAAGCUCCAACAAGUAGUUAAUGUAGGAAAUUUGUUACAUUUAAGUCUCUAAAACAAUGUCUUUAGUAUAUGUAAACUGCAGUAGUGCUGUCUAGCUAGACUUAUUAUUAUGCAUUACUGUUGUGCCAA